rnacentral:tRNA from 1 species
GCUGGGGUAGCUCAGAUGGUUAGAGCGUGGGAUUCAUAACCCCAAGGUCGGGAGUUCGAUCCUCCCCCCCAGCACCA